AUGAACGCUGGCGGCGUGCCUAAUACAUGCAAGUCGAGCGAACAGACGAGGAGCUUGCUCCUCUGACGUUAGCGGCGGACGGGUGAGUAACCCGUGGAUAACCUACCUAUAAGACUGGGAUAACUUCGGGAAACCGGAGCUAAUACCGGAUAAUAUAUUGAACCGCAUGGUUCAAUAGUGAAAGACGGUUUUGCUGUCACCUAUAUAUUGAUCCGCGCCGCAUUAGCUAGUUUGUAAGGUAACGGCUUACCAAGGCAACGAUGGGUAGCCGACCUGAGAGGGGGGUCGGCCCCACUGGAAAUGAGACACGGGCCAAACACCCUCGGGAGGCAAAAGUAGGGAAAUUUACGCAAGGGGGGAAAGCCCGAAGGGGGAAAGGCGCGUGGGGGAAGAAGGGUUUUGGAAUGUAAAACUCUUUUAAUAGGGAAGAAAAAAUGUGUAAGUAAAUAUGCACGUUUUGAAGGGAACUAAUCAGAAAGGCCAGGGUAAAUACGUG
rnacentral:rRNA from 1 species